GACGAACGCUGGCGGCGUGCUUAUCACAUGCAAGUCGAACGAUGAAGCGGGUGCUUGCACUCGUGGAUUAGUGGCGAACGGGCGAGUAACACGUGAGUAACCUGUCCUUUUCUUUGGGAUAACGGCUGGAAACGGCUGCUAAUACUGGAUAUUCAGGCUGCAUCGCAUGGUGUGGUUUGGAAAGGUUUUUUCUGGGAUUGGGUGGGCUCGCGGCCUAUCAGCUUGUUGGUGGGGUGAUGGCUUACCAAGGCUUUGACGGGUAGCCGGCCUGAGAGGGUGGUCGGUCGCACUGGGACUGAGAUACGGCCCAGACUCCUACGGGAGGCAGCAGUGGGGAAUAUUGCACAAUGGACGAAAGUUUGAUGCAGCGACGCCGCGUGGAGGGUGUAGGCCUUCGGGUUGUGAACUCCUUUUUCUCGCGAAAAAGGCACAGUUUUGGCUGUGUUGAUGGUAGUGGGGGAAGAAGCGCCGGCUAACUACGUG
rnacentral:rRNA from 1 species